rnacentral:rRNA from 1 species
CGAACGCUGGCGGCGUGCUUAACACAUGCAAGUCGAGCGAUGAAGUUUCUUCGGAAAUGGAUUAGCGGCGAACGGGUGAGGAACACGUGAAGAAUCUGCCCUCCACUUUGGGAUAACACCGGGAAACCGGUGCUAAUACCGAAUAUUGAAACAUAAGUGGCAUCACUGAGUUUUGAAAGAAUUUUGGUGGAGGAUGACUUCGCGGCCUAUCAGCUAGUUGGUGAGGUAAUGGCUCACCAAGGCAACGACGGGUAGCCGGCCUGAGAGGGCGACCGGCCACACUGGGACUGAGACACGGCCCAGACUCCUACGGGAGGCAGCAGUGGGGAAUAUUGGGCAAUGGAGGCAACUCUGACCCAGCGACGCCGCGUGCGGGAUGAAGGCCUCGGUUGUAAACCGCUUUCAGUAGGAAGAAGCGAAAGUGACGGUACCGUACAAAACGAAGCACCGGCUAACUAUGUGCCAGCAGCCGCGGUAAUCUGAUG